UUUUUAAACCAGUCUAAGUUUUCUGUUUUUAAUUGUUACAAAACUAACUAAAUAACUAAAUGAAAAAGCAAUGUGAUAUUUAUAAAACUCAUCUGUUUUCAUUAAACUAGAGUGUGCCUGUUUUUUCACAGAAACAUGAAGUGAGUUGCUUUAAGGAACUUGUCAAAUCAAAGAUAGCCAUAUGCCAGAAAGGCAUUCAAUAAAAAGCAACUUUUUUUUUUAAGAUACCAAAAAGCAGAGAGCAAUCACAAUGUUCCUUCUAUUCCUUUGCUCUUUAUGAAAACAAUGCAACAACCUCUUUCUUCUAAAUGUGUGUAAAAUCUUUCAGCAGCACACAGCUCCAGGCCUGCACGUUUCUGGGGGUGCACAAUAUAAAUACACUGGGGAUCUGUACUAACUAUUCUAAGUAUGGCAAGAUAAGUAAUUCCUGGAGGAAUCACUCUGACCUGUCAUGACUCCCAAAGCAAUAAGUGAGCAUUUAGCAACAACUGGACACAGCCUACAACCUGCAACAACUGGACACAGUCCACAAUUUGCAGGGAUCAUUCAUUCCCUGAGCUGUAAAGAAAGGUCUUCUCAGGGCCACAGUUCUUAGCCUGGAGGAAACUCUCUUCUCCCUGGUUCUUCCCAUCAUCCCCUCUCUGAGCCAUCUCUCCAGUGUCCUCUGCUGACUGUUAUCAACUGGACACAACUUAGAAUCUGGGGAGGUGAGUAUUCACAAGGAACUAAUAGAUCAGAUUGACUUGUAGGUGUUUACAUGACAAAUUUUGAAGGUUAAUUGAUGUAGGAAGACCAAAGUCACUGCUGUGAGUUCCUUUCCUUUGCCAAGUGGUAAUAAACAGUCUAAGAAAUAAGAAAGGUGGCUGAGAGCAAGCUAGCAAGCUAGCAUGCUUGAAUCACUCAAUCUCCUUGACUCCAGGUGCGCUGUGAUUAGUAGUUUUAAGUUGCUCCCGGCUUGACUUCACCACCAUCAAGGCCUGCAAUCUGGAACUGAAAAAUAAAAAUGAGCCAUUUCUUCCCUAAUUUGCUCUUGGUCAGGAUAUUUUAGCAGAACUACAGGAAGAAAAUUAUAAUCAACACUCUAUAUGUUUAGUUCCUUUGUACUUCUCAAAAACCUUAUCUUCAUUUUGUUUUCCAAACUCUUAUUUCUCGAGCCUAGCCUCUCACUAUCAAAAUUCACAGCCCAUUUUGUACUCUUUUAAAAUAUAACCAUAAUGUUGCCUUUUGUUGAUGCAAAACACCCAACUUGCACUUCAAAUUGGAGAAGAGACUUUACUCUGAAAUCAAGUACCAGUGACCAUGGCUUGGAGAACACAGAUUUAGCUCACCCCAAAUCCAUGGUGCAAUGUAUAAACAGUCUGAUGUUUGGUUGCUGGAAACUACUGCUCUGCCUGUACAUUCCAAAUGGUUUAUCUAAUAAUCACAAAGUCAUUAGGUCAGUCACAGAAAUGGGCAAGAAAAGCUCAAAAGAUGGCCUAUGAUAUUUAGCUCUGGAGUUGCAAGAUUUCAAACUGUCUCCAACCAUUGGCAUUCUAACCAAUUAAUUAGCCUUACAGAAGGUACAGCUGAAGAAGGAUUUACACUCUCAAAACACUGUUUGUGUCUUUCUGACACUUGGGUUUCUUUACCAGGAUUGCUUUCUUUUGCAGCCCACACCUCUCAAUUACCUUCCUCUGUCUGUUUUAUUUUUAUAGAUGUUGCCAAAAGUAAACACACAGGCCAUGAAUAGGACUCUUUUCUUCAGUGCUAGAGAAUGAACACAUCUAUGGUUAUAUAUAUAAUGUAUAUAUACAUUAGACAAGUUCUGAUGUUUCAGAUACAUCCCCAGUUUUAAGAGAACCCUUAGCUAAGUCUUGCCAGUAAAGGUAGAAUAGGAGGUCUUGCAUUAUCACCAGUCUGGUGUGUUUCUUAGUUCUUUUCCUUUUUUAUACAUAUUUAUUUUUAUGUGUACAUUUAUGUGCCUGAGUAUUUGAAUGUACCUUCAGGUGCCAGGGGAGGCCAGAGACAUGAGAUUCCCUUCAACUGGAGGGACAUACUCAUGACAUGGAUGCUGCAAACUGAACCAGGAACCUCUGAAAGACAAGCAAGGGCUCUUCACUCCUGAGCCAGCUCUCCAGACUCCAGGCUGCCACCAUUUCUUUGAACAGUCUUUCCUUCACUACUAUUAAUUUUAAUAAUUUUGUUUACUUUGGCAUUUGAAAUUGCAUUUCUGAAAAUUUAUAUGUUGCUUAUUUUUGUUCUUUGAUUUGCUAUUUUUGUCAGAAUCAAUGAUUCCUAAGAGAUUUGAGAUAUUGUCUCUAUUUUCCUUUUGUAAGUGUGUGAAAAAUUGUUGGCAGUUUGGAGAGAAUCUAUUCAUUUUGUUCAUUUGCUUAUUCUCAUAAGAGAUUUUCACUUUUCUAUUUUUUCCCACCCAAAAAGUAUGCUUCUUGAUAAUAUAUAAUGUCUAUAUUAUAUACUUUUAUUUUAAUCUUAGAUCUAUUUAGAUCCAUUGGUCUUGUGUGGAGUUGUAGGUCGACAUGUAUCUGCAGACUCAAUUAAGAAAUACAAGCUCACAAUUGCUAGGUUUCAGAGUUUGUAAAGAAUGCCAGCCUGCCAUCCAAAGCAAUGUGCCCCUUUCCAUCCUUCCCACAAUGGAUAAGAAUUCCUGCCAAGUCAGCAACUGAACGAACAGGAAAGUGGAUGGAACUGGAAAUCAUCCUGUUAAGAGAACAAAUGCUGGGUUCUACAAACAAUAACAGCAAAACACUUAGUAAAAUAGAGACAGCACUGGAGGGAAGACACGUGAGUAGGCUCACAUGUACUCAGGAGAACCUGCUUCACCUGUCUGUCCUAAAAGCCUAGAAUUGCAUCACCCCCAUUACAUGGAUUUUGUAUGAAGAAGAGCACAGCUGUAGGUGGAUCCACUUUACUAUCCAAUUACAAAUCCAGACUGCUCUCAAACUCACGGUGUAGCAGACGAUGAACUUGAAUUCCUGAAAUUGCUGCCUUCAUUUCUCAAAUGCCAGGAUUAUAGGUGUGAUCUUCGACUACUUUUAAAGUCAAAAUUCAGUUGGAAUAAAUGCAUAACACACACUAUCGUAAAACAAAAUUUCACAGCGUAGCACAAAACUGGUGGGUGAUUUUUAUUUCAUUUGUUUCAUCCCAUUCUCUUCCAUUUUGUUUUGUAUUUAUCAUUUCUACAGCCACUGUGCGUUUUGAUGUAAAUGUUGGAAUAUUUUGCUCUUUGUGGAUCUCAACCUUCUAGUCCCAUUGUCUUCUCAUCAUCCAGCUCUCAUGAUAAACUAUUUAUUUUAUUUUAUUUGUCUAGAUUUAAAGUGUUCCAAGUCUAGCUCAUUUUGCUGGGGUCAGGGCAACUAUCAUUCAUUAUCUUUUGUUGAAUUCAUAUCAGGAAAAGAAGAGAAUUUAUCAAAAGCCCAUUUGACAGAUUUUUUUUCAACAGUAUUCUCCCCCUUUCAGAUUUCUUUAUAAAUGAAGUUUUCUUUCUGUAACUCA